AUUGAACGCUGGCGGCAUGCCUUACACAUGCAAGUCGAACGGCAGCACGGGGGCAACCCUGGUGGCGAGUGGCGAACGGGUGAGUAAUACAUCGGAACGUGUCCUGUAGUGGGGGAUAGCCCGGCGAAAGCCGGAUUAAUACCGCAUACGCUCUACGGAGGAAAGGGGGGGAUCUCAGGACCUCCCGCUACAGGGGCGGCCGAUGGCAGAUUAGCUAGUUGGUGGGGUAAAGGCCUACCAAGGCGACGAUCUGUAGCUGGUCUGAGAGGACGACCAGCCACACUGGGACUGAGACACGGCCCAGACUCCUACGGGAGGCAGC
rnacentral:rRNA from 1 species